CCCCGCCCGACUGGCCCCCGGCGCUGCGCGCCCUCCACCGCUCGGCCCGCGCGCUGCUCUUCCCGGCCUACUGGGCCCUGGACCAGCCGCUGGGUGGCUGAGGAGGGCGGCGGGCGGCGGCGCGGCGCUGCUGCUGCUGCUGCUGGUGGUCGGCCUGCCCCCGGCGCUGCCCGGCCUGCCGCUCUGGCUGAAGCUGCAGGUUUGGCGCCGCCCCUUCUGCUACCGCCCCCUCCGCUGUGCUGGGCGCCGCCCGCCUGCCGAACCCGGGCGCUGCUUCGUCUUCCUCACGGCCAAUCUGUGCCUGCUCCCCGACGGGCUAGCGCGCUUCAGCAACCUACCGCACAGCCAGCGACCGGCCGAGGCCAUUGGCGCCGCGCUGCUGGCCGGAGCGCGGCCCGCGCUCUACAGGGCUACGGACUGCAGUCAGCCGUGGCCCAGGGCGCCGCGCGGGGCGCUGGUGGUCUCGCUGCCCGUGGGUCUGGACUUUGUGUGCCUGCAGGAGGUAUUCGAUCUGCGCGCGGCUCGUCGCUUGGUGAAUCGCCUGGCGCCCAACCUGAGCCCGUUGCUGUACGACGUGGGCACGCUCGGCCUAAAGCCCGGGCCGCACCUCAAGCUGCUGGACAGCGGGCUGCUGCUGGCCUCGCGCUACCCGCUGCUGCGCACCACCGUCGGUUGCUUCCCCCACGCACGUGGCGAGGACGCGCUGGCCUCCAAGGGACUAUUGUCCGCACAGGCGAGGCUGGGCAGCCUGGACCGGCGCCGCAUCGUGGGAUUCCUGCACUGCACGUAUUUGCAAGCACUGGCUGAGGACGGGCCCUUGCGCAGCAAACAGCUGAGGCUGCUGCUGGACUGGGCCGAGUUUGGGGCCGAGAAGUUUGAGGCCGACAGAGAACAAAGUGGAGAGGUCGUGACUUUCAGCGUGCUCCUGGGCGACCUAAACUUCGAUAACUGCUCGAAAGACCACCGGCUGCAGCAGGAGCACGAGCUCUUCCGCUGCUUCCAGGAUCCCUGCCGGCUGGGCACGCGCCAAAAGCAGCCCUGGGCCCUGGGGACAGCGCUGAGCACCUCCGUGCUCCAUCACUCCGUGGCCUCCUCCCCCAAGAUGCCGAGGCGGGCCCUGGAGCAGGAGAAAGGGCGCCACCUCUACCUGGCCGGCCCUCCCGGCAGAAGCCGCUGAGCUAAGCCCUGGAGAGGUCGGCGCCUGGACUACAUCACGUACCGCGGAGUUCCCGGGUGGC
rnacentral:sRNA from 1 species